rnacentral:rRNA from 1 species
AACGCGAAGAACCUUACCUACCAUUGACAUCCCUGGAAUCCUGUAGAGAUAUGGGAGUGCCGAAAGGAACCAGGAGACAGGUGCUGCAUGGCUGUCGUCAGCUCGUGUUGUGAGAUGUUGGGUUAAGUCCCGUAACGAGCGCAACCCUUAUCCUUAGUUGCCAACAUGUAAUGGUGGGGACUCUAAGGAGACUGCUGGUGAAGAACCGGAGGAAGGCGGGGACGACGUCAAGUCAUCAUGGCCUUUAUGGGUAGGGCUACACACGUGCUACAAUGGGGCAUACAGAGGGCAGCGAAGCUGCGAAGCGAAGCCAAUCUCAGAAAGUGCCUCGUAGUCCAGAUUGAAGUCUGCAACUCGACUUCAUGAAGUCGGAAUCGCUAGUAAUCGCGAAUCAGAACGUCGCGGUGAAUACGUUCCCGGGCCUUGUACACACCGGAGUA